rnacentral:lncRNA from 12 species
GAUUUUUCCUUGUAUACAUAAUUUUAUACGUUCUGAAUUUUGAACCUUUGUAAGUUGUACCUAUUCCAUAAAUAGACCAAAACUGUUGAUAAUUAUUCCACUUGCAUUUAUCCAGUGCUUUCUAUGUCCAGUGCCCUUCUAAGACACUGCAAGCCUCAUCCCAUAUCAUCCUCACAAUAACCCUAUAAAGUAUCUUUCUUUCCACAGAUGAGGAGACCGAGGCAUAGAGAGUGUAGAUGGUUUGCCUACAAUCAGAGCUAGAACAUACCCAGCACCUGAGCCAGAAUAGAAUCCCAGUAUUUCUACCUGGGACACUUAGGACACCCAGCUGUUCUCCACUCAGAGUCACAACCUGUUUGGACCACAUCUAUUUCUGAGUGCCUGACUACAAGGUGGAUGGUGUAUUAAUAUAGAUCAACCCUGUCCUCUCCCAAGAAGACCUUCCUUUCAGAGACACAUCCUAUCCGGGCACACAGACUACAAAGCAAUUCCUCUGCCCUCCUACUGCCUCUACACCAAAUCUCACAUUUGUGACUUCCUGAGCGCCUCUCCGAUGUCUCCUUUGCUCCACAUUCCAACUGCCUUGGACUCCCAACAGGCUGCCAUCGAAUCAUAACUGUGUUUCGGCACCAGUGUCCUUAUUCAGUGGAUAGCCGCCAGAAUAAUGUUUUCCCCUUUGUAUUAUAUCCUACACAGCAACAGGCAACAGAAACAGGCUGAUAUGGAAACUCCCAUGCUCCUGACUCCUGGCACAGCAACACAGCCUCCCUGGCAAACCCUGGCUGGUCACUGCAGCUGCCCCAUAUGCCAAGGUCAUUUGCUGGAACCAUUUGCUGGCUUAUUUGCAGGCUGCCAGAACCCAAGUGAGAGAAUUGGAGCCCUCAAAUCAAAGCACAGCCAUAAAAUAGAAACAUGGGGAAGAACUACAGCUGUGCCUGAGUAUGGAGCAGACUUUGUCAAAGAGAAGAAUGAACGAUCGGCCUUGCUUUGAUGUGGCCUUCCUCUGGAACUUCCUCACAAGGACACCUGGCCUUGAAAAUGCAUGAAACUACAGCCUUCCAGGACUCGUGAGGUUAGGAAAAACAGAGUCGUGUUCAGCACUCUUCCACUCCAUCCAGAGACCCAAGGGGAAUCCUGGGCUCUGUCUCCCAUCUCCCACAGGGUAGGCUCCUGCCCUGCUCCCUUUGCCAGCAUCCUUGUGUGCGGCACUGGGUAUGCACCUAGGAUUGCAGCUUAUGGGUAAAAGGAGAUGAAUGGCCUACCCAGAAAAAAGACAGCAAAUCAGGGAGUUCUGAAAAGGAGAGGAGCCUACAGGGAAGGAGAGUCUCCUGUGGAUUUAUAGACCGUAUCCUCUCCUCCAAGACUAAGCUAGAUUCCUUAAAAAAAAAAAAAAAAAAAAAAAAAAUUUGUGGCUCUUUUUUUUUUUUAAUUUUUUAAAUUUAUUUAUGAUAGUCACACAGAGAGAGAGAGAGGCAGAGACACAGGCAGAGGGAGAAGCAGGCUCCGUGCACGGGAGCCCGACGUGGGAUUGGAUCCCG